CGGGUUGUAAACUGCUUUUGUCAGGGAAGAAAUACCUCUGGGUUAAUACCUCGGGGGGAUGACGGUACCUGAAGAAUAAGCACCGGCUAACUACGUGCCAGCAGCCGCGGUAAUACGUAGGGUGCGAGCGUUAAUCGGAAUUACUGGGCGUAAAGCGUGCGCAGGCGGUUGUGCAAGACAGGUGUGAAAUCCCGGGCUUAACCUGGGAACUGCACUUGUGACUGCACGGCUAGAGUACGGUAGAGGGGGAGUGGAAUUCCGCGUGUAGCAGUGAAAUGCGUAGAUAUGCGGAGGAACACCGAUGGCGAAGGCAAUCCCCUGGACCUGUACUGACGCUCAUGCACGAAAGCGUGGGGAGCAAACAGGAUUAGAUACCCUGGUAG
rnacentral:rRNA from 1 species